rnacentral:misc_RNA from 1 species
UUUCCGUAGGUGAACCUGCGGAAGGAUCAUUAAAAAUGAAGCCGGGAAACCGGUCCUUCUGACCCUUGAUUAUCUUAAUUUGUUGCUUUGGUGGGCCGCGCAAGCACCGGCUUCGGCUGGAUCGUGCCCGCCAGAGGACACAACUCUGUAUCAAAUGUCGUCUGAGUACUAUAAAAUAGUUAAAACUUUCAACAACGGAUCUCUUGGUUCUG